AUGAAAACAAUUAAUUAUCCCAACAAAAGAACGGUAGGAUACAAGCAUUAGUAGGAGAUUAGAGAUGGAUGAUGGUUGGAAUACACUGCACCUUGUUAGAAUAUUUGGAUAAAUGGGGAAGUCAUUUUCAUUAGAAAAGAAAGACACUUCAGGCCAUUUGAAAAGCAAAUCUUUGCAUUCGUAGGUUAUGAUGCACGGCAGAAGAGGACCGAAGUCAGUCAUUUAUGCAAGGAAAUAAAAA
rnacentral:lncRNA from 1 species